GGGGAAUAUUGGACAAUGGGCGCAAGCCUGAUCCAGCCAUGCCGCGUGUGUGAUGAAGGCCUUAGGGUUGUAAAGCACUUUCGCCGAUGAAGAUAAUGACUGUAGUCGGAGAAGAAGCCCCGGCUAACUUCGUGCCAGCAGCCGCGGUAAUACGAAGGGGGCUAGCGUUGUUCGGAAUUACUGGGCGUAAAGCGUACGUAGGCGGAUUGUUAAGUGAGGGGUGAAAUCCCGAGGCUCAACCUCGGAACUGCCUUUCAUACUGGCAAUCUUGAGUCCGGGAGAGGUGAGUGGAACUCCUAGUGUAGAGGUGAAAUUCGUAGAUAUUAGGAAGAACACCAGUGGCGAAGGCGGCUCACUGGCCCGGAACUGACGCUGAGGUACGAAAGCGUGGGGAGCAAAC
rnacentral:rRNA from 1 species